rnacentral:rRNA from 1 species
CCAAUAGCGUAUAUUAAAGUUGUUGCAGUUAAAAAGCUCGUAGUUGAAUUUCGGGGUCAGUAGGUUGGUCAUGCCACAGGUAUGUACUGAUCUUACUGAUUCCUCCUUCCUGAUGAACCGUAAUGCCAUUAAUUUGGUGUUGCGGGGAAACUGGACUGUUACUUUGAAAAAAUUAGAGUGUCUAAAGCAGGCUAACGCUUGAAUACAUUAGCAUGGAAUAAUGAAAUAGGACGUUCGAUCCUAUUUUGUUGGUUUCUAGGAUUGACGUAAUGAUUAAUAGGGAUAGUUGGGGGCAUUAGUAUUCAAUUGUCAGAGGUGAAAUUCUUGGAUUUAUUGAAGACUAACUACUGCGAAAGCAUUUGCCAAGGAUGUUUUCAUUAAUCAAGAACGAAAGUUAGGGGAUCGAAGACGAUCAGAUACCGUCGUAGUCUUAACCAUAAACUAUGCCGACUAGGGAUCGGAUGAUGUUAAUUUUUUAAUGACUCAUUUGGCGCCUUACG